UUUACUGUCCGCUCUAACUAAACUUACACAUGCAAGUAUCCGCCCCCCUGUGAGAAUGCCCACAAACCCCUGCUUGGGGCCAAGGAGCUGGUAUCAGGCACAGAGAAAUCUAGCCCACAACACCUUGCUUAGCCACACCCUCAAGGGAACUCAGCAGUGAUAAAUAUUAAGCCAUAAGUGAAAACUUGACUUAGUUAAGGUUAAGAGGGCCGGUAAAACUCGUGCCAGCCACCGCGGUUAUACGAGAGGCCCAAGUUGACAGACAACGGCGUAAAGGGUGGUUAGGGGAAGGACUAAACUAGAGCUAAACGCUUUCAAAGCUGUUAUACGCACCCGAAAGUAUGAAACCCAAUCACGAAAGUAGCCCUAUUAACCCUGAAUCCACGAAAGCUAAGAAACAAACUGGGAUUAGAUACCCCACUAUGCUUAGCCGUAAACAUCGAUUGUACUACACAUAUCAUCCGCCCGGGAAUUAUGAACACCAGUUUAAAACCCAAAGGACUUGGCGGUGCUUAACAUCCACCUAGAGGAGCCUGUUCUAGAACCGAUAAUCCCCGUUUAACCUCACCCUCUCUUGUUUAUUCCCGCCUAUAUACCGCCGUCGUCAGCUUACCCUGUGAAGGUCUAACAGUAAGCAAAAUUGGUACAACCCAAAACGUCAGGUCGAGGUGUAGCGAAUGGGAGGGGAAGAAAUAGGCUACAUUUACUAUUCAUAGUAAAAACGAAUGUUGGAUUGAAACAUCUGACUGAAGGAGGAUUUAGCAGUAAGCAGGAAAUAGAGCGUCCCGCUGAAAUUGGCCCUAAAGCGCGCACACACCGCCCGUCACCCUCCCCUAACCCCUGUAAUAAAUUAAUUAAAGACUCACAACCUUCCAAGGGGAGGAAAGUCGUAACAUGGUAAGUGUACCGGAAGGUGUACUUGGAAAAUCAAAGUGUA
rnacentral:ncRNA from 1 species